rnacentral:rRNA from 1 species
GACGAACGCUGGCGGCGUGUCUAAUACAUGCAAGUAGGACGCAGUUGCGAACGGGUGAGUAACGCGUAGGUAACUACCUAUUAGAGGGGGAUAACUAUUGGAAACGAUAGCUAAUACCGCAUACUAGUAGAUGGACCUGCGUUGUAUUAGCUAGUAGGUAGGGUAAUGGCCUACCUAGGCAACGAUACAUAGACGACCUGGUAGGGUGAGCGGGCACACUGGGCACUGGACCAGGUCCAGACUCCUACGGGAGGCAGCCGUAGGGAAUCUUCGGCAAUUGGGGGAACCCUGACCGAGCAACGCCGCGUGAGUGAAGAAGGUUUUCGGAUCGUAAAGCUCUGUUGUUAAGGAAGCGGUACUUAACCAGAAAGGGACGGCUAACUACGUGCCAGCAGCCGCGGUAAUUC